GACGAACGCUGGCGGCGUGCUUAACACAUGCAAGUCGUACGGUAAGGCCCUUUCGGGGGUACACGAGUGGCGAACGGGUGAGUAACACGUGAGUAACCUGCCCACAACUUUGGGAUAACGCUAGGAAACUGGUGCUAAUACUGGAUAUGUGCUCCUGCUGCAUGGUGGGGGUUGGAAAGCUCCGGCGGUUGUGGAUGGACUCGCGGCCUAUCAGCUUGUUGGUGGGGUAGUGGCCUACCAAGGCGGCGACGGGUAGCCGGCCUGAGAGGGUGACCGGCCACAUUGGGACUGAGAUACGGCCCAGACUCCUACGGGAGGCAGCAGUGGGGAAUAUUGCACAAUGGGCGCAAGCCUGAUGCAGCAACGCCGCGUGCGGGAUGACGGCCUUCGGGUUGGAAACCGAUUUCAGCAGGGACGAAGCUUUUUGUGACGGUACCUGCAGAAGAAGCACCGGCUAACUACGUG
rnacentral:rRNA from 1 species